rnacentral:rRNA from 1 species
UACAGAGGUGGCAAGCGUUGUUCGGAAUUACUGGGCGUAAAGGGCGCGUAGGCGGCCAUCUAAGUCAGACGUGAAAUCCCCCGGCUUAACCUGGGAACUGCGUCUGAUACUGGACGGCUUGAGUAUGGGAGAGGGGUGUAGAAUUCCAGGUGUAGCGGUGAAAUGCGCAGAUAUCAGGAGGAACACCAAUGGCGAAGGCAGCUCGCUGGAACGGUACUGACGCUGAGGCGCGAAAGCGUGGGGAGCGAACAGG